rnacentral:rRNA from 1 species
AUUGAACGCUGGCGGUAUGCUUAACACAUGCAAGUCGAACGAUGAGAAAGAGCUUGCUCUUUCGAUUAGUGGCGGACGGGUGCGUAACGCGUAGGAAUCUACCUAUUAGUGGGGGACAACUUAGGGAAACUUAAGCUAAUACCGCAUACGCCCUACGGGGGAAAGAAGGGGAUCGCAAGACCUUUUGCUAAUAGAUGAGCCUGCGUAGGAUUAGCUAGUUGGUGGGGUAAAAGCUCACCAAGGCGACGAUCCUUAACUGGUUUGAGGGAAUGAUCAGUCACACUAGAACUGAGACACGGUCCAGGCUCCGACGGGAGGCAGAAGUGGGGAAUAUUGGACAAUGGGAGGAACCCUGAUCCAGCCAUGCCGCGUGUGUGAAGAAGGCCUUUUGGUUGUAAAGCACUUUAAGCGAGGAGGAGACUACCGAGAUUAAUACUCUUGGAUAGUGGACGUUACUCGCAGAAUAAGCACCGGCUAACUCUGUGCCAGCCGCCGCCGUAACAC